GACGAACGCUGGCGGCGUGCUUAACACAUGCGAGUCGAACGGAAAGGCCCUGCUUUUGUGGGGUGCUCGAGUGGCGAACGGGUGAGUAACACGUGAGUAACCUGCCCUUGACUUUGGGAUAACUUCAGGAAACUGGGGCUAAUACCGGAUAGGAGCUCCUGCUGCAUGGUGGGGGUUGGAAAGUUUCGGCGGUUGGGGAUGGACUCGCGGCUUAUCAGCUUGUUGGUGGGGUAGUGGCUUACCAAGGCUUUGACGGGUAGCCGGCCUGAGAGGGUGACCGGCCACAUUGGGACUGAGAUACGGCACAGACUCCUACGGGAGGCAGCAGUGGGGAAUAUUGCACAGUGGGCGGAAGCCUGAUGCAGCAACGCCGCGUGCGGGAUGACGGCCUUCGGGUUGUAAACCGCUUUCGCCUGUGACGAAGCGUGAGUGACGGUAAUGGGUAAAGAAGCGCCGGCUAACUACGUG
rnacentral:rRNA from 1 species